rnacentral:SRP_RNA from 2 species
GCCGGAUGUGGUGAUGCACACCUGUAGUCCCAGCUACUCAGGAGGCUGAGGCAGAAGAAUUGCUUGAACCUGGGAGGCCGAGGUUGCAGUGAGCUGAGAUCAUGCCACUGCACUCCAGCCUGGGUGACAGAGCAAGACUCUGACUCAA